UGGGGAAUAUUGGACAAUGGGCGCAAGCCUGAUCCAGCCAUGCCGCGUGAGUGAUGAAGGCCCUAGGGUUGUAAAGCUCUUUCACCGGUGAAGAUAAUGACGGUAACCGGAGAAGAAGCCCCGGCUAACUUCGUGCCAGCAGCCGCGGUAAUACGAAGGGGGCUAGCGUUGUUCGGAUUUACUGGGCGUAAAGCGCACGUAGGCGGACUUUUAAGUCAGGGGUGAAAUCCCGGGGCUCAACCCCGGAACUGCCUUUGAUACUGGAAGUCUUGAGUAUGGUAGAGGUGAGUGGAAUUCCGAGUGUAGAGGUGAAAUUCGUAGAUAUUCGGAGGAACACCAGUGGCGAAGGCGGCUCACUGGACAUUACUGACGCUGAGGUGCGAAAGCGUGGGGAGCAAACAGG
rnacentral:rRNA from 1 species